CCUACGGGAGGCAGCAGUAGGGAAUCUUCCACAAUGGGCGAAAGCCUGAUGGAGCAACGCCGCGUGGGUGAAGAAGGUCUUCGGAUCGUAAAACCCUGUUGUUAGAGAAGAAAGUGCGUGAGAGUAACUGUUCACGUUUCGACGGUAUCUAACCAGAAAGCCACGGCUAACUACGUGCCAGCAGCCGCGGUAAUACGUAGGUGGCAAGCGUUAUCCGGAUUUAUUGGGCGUAAAGGGAACGCAGGCGGUCUUUUAAGUCUGAUGUGAAAGCCUUCGGCUUAACCGGAGUAGUGCAUUGGAAACUGGGAGACGUGAGUGCAGAAGAGGAGAGUGGAACUCCAUGUGUAGCGGUGAAAUGCGUAGAUAUAUGGAAGAACACCGAUUGCGAAGGCAGCAUGCCGGCUCCACACUGACGCUGAGGCACGAAAGCGUGGGUAUCGAACAGGAUUAGAUACCCUUGUAGUC
rnacentral:rRNA from 1 species